rnacentral:rRNA from 1 species
CACCGCGGUUAUACGAGCAACACAAAUUAAUAUUUCACGGCAUUAAGGGUGAUUAGAAACAUCUCUAAUAAAAUAAAGUUAAAACCUUAUUAAGCUGUCAUACGCUUUUAUAUUUUAAAAACCCACUCACGAAAGUAACUUUAAAUAAUACAGAACUUUUGACCUCACGACAGUUAAGACC